ensembl:lincRNA
CCUCAGAACCCGGGACCCCUGGGCUCCUGAGACCCGCGGAAGGACGGACGGACCGACCGACAGGUCCGGGUGCUGGCUAGAUGGACGGCAUCAUCUACUCGGAGCAGACGGUCGCGGGCCAAGGGACCCUGAAAGUGAGACAGAGCUCCUCAGAGCCUCCACUUUCUGGGUCUGGACUUCUGCAUUCCGCUCCUUCUCUGGAUACCGCCCUCAGGAAGACUUCCAGGAUUGCCUCUACCCAGUCUCAGCACCCUCCUCUCAGGAGCCUUUACAGUGGCAGGGGCCUGGGGCCUGGGGACUUGGUGUACUCUGAAUUGCUUUCCAUACCCUGCAUUUUACUUUGUUUAUACAGGGACCUGAGAGACUGUCAGCUAGCCGAGUGUGCAGCAAACAUGGCCGGUGUGACCAUGAGAAGGAUUUCUUCUUAAAGACAGAGUCCUCAUUCUUAAACAAGUCACAGUGUAGCUGGAGUUCCUGUCACAAGUCACAAUGCAGAAGGAGUCCCCAUCACCACAAGUCAUAGUGUAGCUGGAAUCCCUAUCAUGACUAUGUCCAAUAGCUGCAGGAGGCAAAUCUCUGGUGUAGGAAACCCCCAUUUCCCCUCACCCACUGUCUUUGUCC